rnacentral:tRNA from 1 species
UCCCUGAUAGCUCAGUUGGUAAAGAAUCUGCCUGCAAUGCGGGAGACCCAGGUUCAAUCCCUGGGUUGGGAA